UGGUGGGUAGUUUGACUGGGGCGGUCUCCUCCUAAAGAGUAACGGAGGAGCACGAAGGUUGGCUAAUCCUGGUCGGACAUCAGGAGGUUAGUGCAAUGGCAUAAGCCAGCUUGACUGCGAGCGUGACGGCGCGAGCAGGUGCGAAAGCAGGUCAUAGUGAUCCGGUGGUUCUGAAUGGAAGGGCCAUCGCUCAACGGAUAAAAGGUACUCCGGGGAUAACAGGCUGAUACCGCCCAAGAGUUCAUAUCGACGGCGGUGUUUGGCACCUCGAUGUCGGCUCAUCACAUCCUGGGGCUGAAGUAGGUCCCAAGGGUAUGGCUGUUCGCCAUUUAAAGUGGUACGCGAGCUGGGUUUAGAACGUCGUGAGACAGUUCGGUCCCUAUCUGCCGUGGGCGCUGGAGAACUGAGGGGGGCUGCUCCUAGUACGAGAGGACCGGAGUGGACGCAUCACUGGUGUUCGGGUUGUCAUGCCAAUGGCACUGCCCGGUAGCUAAAUGCGGAAGAGAUAAGUGCUGAAAGCAUCUAAGCACGAAACUUGCCCCGAGAUGAGUUCUCCCUGAGACUUAGAGUCUCCUGAAGGAACGUUGAAGACGACGACGUUGAUAGGCCGGGUGUGUAAGCGCAGCGAUGCGUUGAGCUAACCG
rnacentral:rRNA from 2 species